UUUACGGGCGCAAAAUUCAGAAAAUAUACAAUUCUGCAAGCAAAAAAGAGGCAAACGCAAUAGGAAAUAGAAUUAUACGAGUGCAGAGGAAGAUGCUACGCGCCAAAGUGCAUCGCUGACGAGUGCAUCCGGUCUUCAACGCCCACAUAUGCGAAAAAUACGUCAGCGCGUAUUGAUGACGACGAGGAUGGCAGGAAGGUCAUGAGAUUCACCUGCUUCCCCUUGCAGGGUGAGGAAGGAAGACAGGAUGAAAGGAAGACGCAUUUUGCGAGAGGGCGAAGGAAACAGCGGGUCGAGGAGGAAAUUGCAUCUCUCGACGAUGACUGUAUUUGACGUCAUCCGCUCGUGUGAGGCGAAUGCGUUGCGUAGAUACGCAAAUACGCACCGCGGGAACGAAGAAAUACACGAAUAAGGCGACGCUCACAUCGCGAGACCGGCGGUGAUCUUCGAGAACAGAAAAGGUCUAGAAAAAGAGAGGUGAGCCAAAGCUCGGCUUAGUAAGAGCGGCCUAAACGGUGACUGCUAUAUUGUCGCUGGGAAACGAAAAUAGCUGCUGUCAGCCUCAGAGGCAAAUUGUGGUGACGAGGGGGCGAAGAGGGCGAAGGAGGGUGACGAUGGAGAACUAAGGUAGCAUGGUGCACGACGACGAUGAAGAAGGUGGGACCAAGAAACGCGACGACGAAGCGAGUCGAAUGAGGGUGUUAUGUGGGAUCUGGAAUAUGAAGAA